rnacentral:rRNA from 1 species
AACGAACGCUGGCGGCAGGCUUAACACAUGCAAGUCGAACGCCCCGCAAGGGGAGUGGCAGACGGGUGAGUAACGCGUGGGAACCUACCUCAUGGUGCGGAAUAACUCAGGGAAACUUGAGCUAAUACCGCAUGUGUCCUUCGGGUGAAAGAUUUAUCGCCAUGGGAUGGGCCCGCGUCGGAUUAGCGAGUUGGUGGGGUAACGGCCUACCAAGGCGACGAUCCUUAGCUGGUCUGAGAGGAUGAUCAGCCACACUGGGACUGAGACACGGCCCAGACUACUGCGGGAGGCAGCAGUGUGGAAUAUUGGAAAAUGGGCGCAAGCCUGAUCCAGCCAUGCCGCGUGAGUGAUGAAGGCCUUAGGGUUGUAAAGCUCUUUCGCCGGUGAAGAUAAUGACGGUAACCGGAGAAGAAGCCCCGGCUAACUUCGUGCCAGCAGCCGCGGUAAGAC